UCUGACAAAGUUUGAAUUUUUUUUCAAUAACCCUUAAAAUUAUAAAUUAUAUAAUUACCCCAAGACUUUCUCUCUGGUUGAUAGAGAGAAGUUUUUCACUUAACAAGGGUGAGUAUAUAGUGAUGCCAUAACAUUGGUGGAGUGAGAUAUAUAAUCCUAACUUGAAAAUUCUACAAUAAUAUAUAUGAUUUGAGUGACAAGAUAUUAAACUCAAAGCUGAUCGUAGUUAUUUUAGUCCAUACCAUACAUCACACGUACGAUCAUAUAGUGUCUAGCUAGAUGUUAUAUUCUUUACCCAGCCAUCCCUCUCGAACAUCUCUUGGGUAUCACAUUCAAAGGUAUAAGUUUUCGAACAGAUAUCCCAACCUUUUCUCUCAUAUCUAAGGUCUCAUGGGUUGAAUCUUUGUCAAGUUCCCAAUUAAAACAGUGAAUUAAAGAUGCUAGACCAAGGAGAAUUACUCUUUGAGCAAAUAACAUACCUACACAAAUCCUCCUUCCUGAUCCAAAUGGAAUUAGCUCAAAAUUUUGCCCCUUGUAGUCAAUGUUUAAACCUAAAAACCUCUCAGGCUUGAAGCUCAAGGGAUCUUCCCAAGAAUCUGGAUCUCUUCCUAUUGCCCAUGCAUUCACUAAAACUUGAGUAUCUUUAGGUACAUCGUACCCAACGAACUUUGUGUCUUGUAUUGUGUUUCUUGGAAGGAGCAAAGGAAGUGGGGGAUGUAAUCUAAGUGUUUCCUUCACGACAACUUGCAAAUAUGGUAGUUUCUCUAUGUCACUCUCUUCAACAUUUCUGUUUUCUCCAACAACUUCAAUGAGUUCUUCUUUAACCUUUCUCAUGGCUUCAGGUUGACGAAGUAACUCUGCCAUGGCCCAUUCUAUUACUGUACUCGUAGUCUCUGACCCAGCAAAAAACAUUUCCUUCAACGUCAGACAAAACCAAGAAUAAUUAGUUAAUUAGCCUUUAUUAUUGUGCUUUGCAAAUUAGCAAUUACAAGACAUAAUACAAAAUCUUCAAGUAAUGCAAGUAUAUGCUUACCAAUACGAGUAUGAUGAGCCUUUCAUAUGGGAUCUUCUCAUGCCAAUCUUUGCCAUCACCUUCAAAUUCCAACAAAGUGUCUAAGAAGUCCUUACUAGCUUUCUCCUUAUCCCCAAAUUUGUAUUCCUCAAUCCUUUCUUUCACAAACCCUUCAACAAUCUCCAAAGCUCGUCCCAUAUCUCUCGUCAUGUUUCUCUUUAGUCCUUGUGGAUCUAACCAUUUCAAGAAUGGAAAAAAAUCUGCUAAAUUUGGCUUCCCAGCCCACACUGAAACCAUUCCCAUAGCUUGAAAAAAUUCAUACCCUUCUUUACACUGUGAAUCCACAACGUCUCUCGAGAGCAUAAGGUUACCAACUAUGUUGAAUGACAUUAGGAAGAGAUAGUGAGGUAAAUUCACUACCCCUGACUCUCCCCUUGCAGUUGCAGCUGCUGUAUCAUCUUCAAUACUCCUGAACAUCAAAGCAAUGGUAGUAUCACUAUUUCAAUCUAACUUCAUACAAAAAUACUAUAUCUAUAAACAGGAUUCAAAAGUCAGUGGUUACCUAAUCAUCUGGAGGAUGCACUUCCGCCGAAUGGAAGCUGUAUCAUUGACUCGCUUGACGGUCAUCAUUUCCACCGAGCAAAGACGCCUAAUCAUACGCCAGUAGGGGCUAAACUGGCCAACAGCAAGUGACCCAUCUCUGUAGUUAAGACAGUUAAAUACUUCAAGAGACUUACGGUCACAGAAGCUGGUAUCGUGAUUCUUAAGCAGCUCAGCCGCAGUCUUAGCUGAUUGUAUCACAACUGUAUCCAUGGAUCCUAGUCUGAGCCAGAGAACAGGUCCAUACUUAAACUUAAGCUCCUCUAAAGCUUGGUGUGGUGCAAUUCCUAGAUCAAAAAUAUUGCCCAAGAUUGGCCAACCUGGAGGCCCUGGAGGCAAAUUCUUGGUUCCUUGUCCCAAAAUUUUCCCUCUCCGGCAUACAAUCACAGCCAAAGAUAAGAACAAACUUGCCCAAACAAGGAAACCGCAGAUGAACUCCAUUAUUUCUCUUGAGUUCAAAGACUGCCCGUUCUAGUCGUUGUUCUAUGCUUCUGUUUUAUAUUCUCACGUAGGAAUAUAAUAUUGCAAUUAGUCAUAUUUUUGCGGCCACUGUUCUUACACAUGCUUGUUUGGAGGGUUGAAUAAAAAUCAAAUUGGGUCUGUGGAAUUCAAUUACUGCUUUUUAGAGAAAUUAGUUUUAAAUUUUUAUUUUACUAUUUUUAUUAAAAAAUUUAGAAAUCUUUUGUAUUUUUAUAAACAUUUCUUAAAUAUAAUAUAUAAUCUAUAGAAUUUUUUUCAAAAUAAUUUACAAUAUUAUAUGUUAAAAAAAGAAGAGAAAUUUAUUUUUUUAGAAGCCCAAAUAGGAUACGCUCAAAAUACCAAAUCUAAUUAAACUGAAUUAUAUAUAAUUUGAUUGGAUUCAUUCAAUUAAAUAAAUAUUAUUACUUAAUUUAUUUUUUAAUUAUUUAUAUCGAAUUCAGUUUGAAAGAGUCUUAUUUAAUUUCAAUAUGAUCACUUAUUAAUUAUUAUUUUUCUAAAUAAAUAUUUAAAAUAUCUUUCAUAUUUAACAAAAUUAAAUAUUAAAUAUUUUUUAAAUGGAUAUAAUUAGAGGGGAGUAUUCGGUCGGUUCGGUUCAAAAUCAAAUCGAAUCGAAUAAAUUGAAAAUCAAAAUUUUUAGUAUUUAUGAAAACUGAAUCGAACUGAUUUUGAUCAGAAAUCAAAUCAAAUCGAACCAGUCUGAUUCGAUUCGAUUUGAUUCGGUUUGAUCAGUUUAAAUUUUUAAUAAAUUUUUUAUUUACACUUUAUUUUUAUUUUUAGUAUUUUAAAAUUUAAGUAAAAUAUUUUAAUUUUAAUAUAAUUUAAUCUCUUUAUAUUAUUUAAAAUAAUAUAUUAUUAUCACUAAUCGUUUCGAUUUUUUUAAUUUUGUUAUUAAAUUUGAAUCGAAUUAAAAUAACUAAAAUUUUUAAAAUUAAAUAUUAAAUCAAAUUGAAAUGAAUAAAAAAUCAAAUCAAAUUUUUAAAUUAAUUUGAUUCGUUGAAUUUUUUCGAUUUAAAUCUAAUACUGCUCACCCUUAAAUAUAAUUUAAAAAUUAAUAAAAUAUUAUUUUUUAACAUUAAAAAAAUAAAAUAAAUAAAAAUUAUCAGAUAAAAAAUACUAACUUUAUAUAAAAAUAUCAAUUUUUUAUAUAAUAUAAAAUUAUGCAAUAUCAAAUAUAUAUACAUAUAUGUGGUGGCGGCUUUAGGAUUAAAAAAAUUGGAUAAAAGGCAAAGAUAAUGGAGUCCAUGAGAGCAAAUUGAAUGAUUCUAAACGAUAAGUUUUAAGAUGUUGAUGUUCCUAUUACAUUGACAUAUUGGGGGACCAUCGUCAUAAUCAUGCUUCAUAGUUAGACUUUAAUUUAGAUAUAUUAUGGCUCACACAGUAUUGAACUCGAUAAUAAAUAUAUUUAAAUAAAUUUAAAAAAUUUAAAUUUUUAUUUUUUUAUUUUCAAUUUUCUUUAAAGAAAAAGAAAAUUUUAUUGUAAAAAAAAUAAUUAUUUUAUUUAUUUAUUUCUACAAAAUUAAUUAUUUCUUUUUCUUAUCUCAAAAAAAUACAUUGUUAAUAACUCAAAAAAAAAAUUUUCAAAUUUUCUUUUAUUAAAACUUAUUCUGGUUAACAAUCAUUUUGCAUUCUAUCCAAACACUCCCUUAUAAUGAAGGCCAAGUAAAAGCCAAACCCAUGAUUAAGAAAUCAAAACUCCAAAGACAAUAUCAUACUUCAAUCAAAUACAGACAAAAACACACAUAUAGGCAUCACAAAAGAAGGUGAUGCCUUUUGUUCUGUGCAUUAUUUUGUGGGGAAACUUUUGGCUGCAUCAGAGAGUAUUACACUAAAUUAAUGGGUGAGUCUCAAUUGGCUUAAGCAAUUGAGUCUUAUUAUUAUUAACUUCAUUUUGGGUGUCCUUUCGAAAGGCUAGCCUCACGAGCAGCUGUAAACUUGGCAAUGAGCUUGUCCCUAGGUGGCCAGCUUUCUUGGAUUGUUGGGAUAUUGGAGAAUUCCUGCAUCCAAGAAGUUAACACUGGGAAUUUUUGCUGGUUUAUUAGUUUUACUGUGCUAUUACUGUUGCUUAUUCUUCUUCUCCCAUGGCUGAUUUCAUACCACCAACUACUUAUCAGCUAGGCUAACCCACUCCCUUCUUUAAAACCAAUUCCCUGCACUCCGCUCCUUUAAUUUUUUUAAAAAAAUUACUUUUAAAUUCUUGAAUUUAAAAAAAAAAUAGUCCACAUCUAUUUCAAAAUCACUCACGUCCUUUAUUUUGUAAAAUCAAACCUUUUAAUAUUUUUUAAAAAAAAUCAUUAGUCAAUUUAUUAACUUUAAUUAAAAAGAUUAAAAGGUAUGAAUGUUUAAAAUUAUAAAAACUAAAUAAUAUAUGAUGAUCUGAAAUCCAAUACAAUAGGGUUUUACAAGGGCUUUUGUACUCAAGAAGAACUCUCUCCUCUCUCUAGAGGGGUAUCCCUUUUAUCCUUUUCUUCCUGCCUACUGAUGACGUAUAACGGCUCUCCCCUUAUUGGACCACGCGUCUCUGCCACACAGAUAUGGGCGUACGAGAAAAUCAGGCGCCUGCUCCAUGCGUAACAGCCUCUGAUUCUCCCCCGUGCGUACACUCGAACGGAUCUGCCAGGCUGUAUGACGAGUCUCGUUCUGGAUUCUGGGCCGGGCCGUAAGCUGGGCUGGACGCUGAACCUUGGAGAAGAAGGAAUCCGUGGGGAGGUUGUAUGGGCUGGGCCGAUCUCGAUGAGGGAGAAUCUGGUGGAGUCCGGCCUCAAGGAUCUGGUGGUCCGGGCCUGUUUUACUUGAGAAGGCGUGCGGGCCUUCCUUUCAUGGGCCAUGGCCAUAAUCUAGGCCCAGGAUUGGGGGUAGAGAAAUCCAGCGGUCAUCAAUAUAUAUAAUUAAAAUUAGAUUUAUUGGAUAAAAAAAUUUAAACAUUCACUAUUUUUUAUAUUUAUAUUCUAACCUUAAAAUCUUGUAUAAUAAAAUCAAUUCUUUCAUAUUUAUCUCAAUUUUAGCUAUUUAUGUUAAUCAAUUUUGAUAAAAGAAAUUUAUUACACUCUCAUGCCACAUAAAAUUAUUUCUUAAAAGACUUAUUGAAUAAAAAAAUUCAAAUAUUUAUGUUAAUUUAUAUUUAUAUUCAAAACUUUAAAAUUUAAAUAAUAAAAUUAAAAUUUUUUAAUUUAUCAUAAUUAUAAUAAAAAAAUAAAUUGAAUUUGAAAAUUUUAUGUUAAAUUAUAAUAUAUUUCUUAAAUUUUUAUUUAACUAAUAAAACAGUUCUUAAAAUAUAUAUUUUUAUUUUAAUAAUAAUUUUUUUUAUUAAAUCCAUUAUUUACUUUUCAUUUUCAUUUUUAUACAUGCAUAGUAGUUUAAUAAAAAUUUAAAAUGUUAAAAAAUUAUAAUAUAAAAUAUAUAAUAUUUUAUUUUUAUUUAAUAUUAUUAAUAUAAAGUACAAUUUUUUAUCGGAUCAGAUAAUAAAUUAAUAUACAUCACAAAUUUACUUAUUAUACAGAUAAGAAAAUAAAAAUAUUAAAUAUUUUAAAUAACUUAUAAUAAAUAUAAUUAAUAUAUCUAAAUUUUUAUGAAAAUCAUAAAAGGAAUAAUUUUACAUACUAAAAAAUGUAAUAUUUCAUUUGAAUUAAUAUUAUUAAUAUAAAAUUCAUAUAUUAAAAAUAUAUGCAUAAUUUAUAAUAGUGAAUAUAAAUCUUCAAUAAAUUAUUUUAAUAUAUAAUAUUUACAUGUGAUAUUUUACAUAGUGAAAAUUUAUUUAUAAUAAUUAUUUAUUUAGUAUUACAUAUGAUAAAUAUAAAAUAAAAAUAUACUUUUAAUAUAAAUUUUAAAUUAAAGAACUAUAUAUUUAUUAAUAUAAAAACUUUAAGAACAAUAACUUUUCAAAUUCAAUUUUAUACCUCAAUUAAAAUUAUGAUAAAAGUUUGAUUUUUUUUUCCAAUAACCCUUAGAAUUAUAAAUUAUAUAAUUACCCCAAGACUCUCUCUGGUUGAUAGAGAGAAAGAGAUAUAUAAUCCUAACUUGAAAAUUCUACAAUAAUAUAUAUGAUUUGAGUGACAAGAUAUUAAACUCAAAGCCAGUCGUAGUUAUUUUAAUCCAUACCAUACAUCACACAACCAUAUAGUAUCUAGCUAGAUGUUACAUUCUUUAGCCAGCCAUCACUCCCGAACAUCUCUUGGGUAUCACAUUCAAAGGUAUAAGUUUUCGAACAGAUAUCCCAACCUUUUCUCUCAUAUCUAAAGUCUCAUGGGUUGAAUCCUUAUCAAGUUCCCAAUUAAAACAGUGAAUUAAAGAUGCUAGACCAAGGAGAAUUACUCUUUGAGCAAAUAACAUACCUACAC
rnacentral:lncRNA from 1 species